AGUCCGAACGGCUGGCCACCGCCACGCCGCCCUGCAGAGACGGAGACUGCUCGUCACCCGGCUCCAGAACCGACCCGAGCCCCAGACGCCAGGACCAGCCCCUCUCGGCCUCUGCCUUCCCACGCUCCUGGCUUUCUCCACCUGGGCAGCCCAGACUCUGCACAGCCUCCCAGAAUACCAGAAUUAUAGGUGUGAGACAUCAACCCAAUUCCGAGUCCUGUUCCUUCCUAUUGGGUGUGUUGGUGAUGAAACACCUUGGAGACAUCCAAAUCCACCGUUCUCUCCAGCUCCAAUGCCUGUAGCCUGGCUUGCUCCUCUAGACCUUUGCACCUGAGCUGAGAAGCAGGAAAUAGACGAAAGCAGAAAUUGUCUCCUGCAGGCUUUGGCCCUCCUGCCCCUAAUGAGGAUCCCAGGUCACCUCCAGAAGCAGAACUCAGUGGUGAGGUCAUAGCCCAGAUGGCUGCCAGCCCCGUUCGUUGGUGGUGAGUCAUCCCCAGGCAUUCUGUGAAGCAGAGCGCAAACGUGCAAGGGAUAAAGGGCGAAACCGGCUCCACCAUGUGAUUGGCUGAACUGAACAUCAGUCUACAGGUGACUGAACUGAAGGAAUCUGAACUGAAGACAAGCAGCCUCCACUUUUGGUUUUCUUGCUUGGGCUGUGUCCAGAUCCCCUGUGCUUUAUUCAGGGCCUGGCCAGUGCCAGAACAGAGCAGAAGGUGACCACCGGCCCCUGCUGUCUUCACUUGAUUUCACAGCCAGGAGCCCCAUAGGAGACACUUGAGCCUGACACGGGCUGUUUUGUUCUUAGAAUGCCUACUGCAUUCUUUUCCCCCAUUGUCAUAGGGACGAAAAAAGGACAUUUCCCACACACGUCUUAAGAGACAGGGCAACAUAUUUCUUGAGGAUAGUGAGGAGAAGAAAUUAACUGAAAAAAAAAAAAA